GAUGAACGCUGGCGGUAUGCUUUACACAUGCAAGUCGUACGAAAAGUAUUUGAAUUUAUUCGUUUACUUUUAGUGGCGGACGGGUGAGUAACACGUGAGAAUCUGCCUUUAGGAGGGGGACAACAAAUCGAAAGGUCUGCUAAAACCCCAUAUGUCGUUAGAUGAAAUAGAUUUAUCUGCCUAAAGAGGAGCUCCGGGCUGAUUUAGCUAGUGUGGUGGGGUAAAGGCCUACCAAGGGGACGAUCAGUAAGCUGGUCUGAGAAGGAGAUCAGCCCCACUGGGACUGAGACACGGCCCAGACUCCUACGGGAGGCAGCAGUGGGGAAUUUUCCGCAAUGGGCGAGGAAAGCCUGCGGAGCAACGCCGCGUGAGGGAUGAAGGCCUCUGGGCUGUAAACCUCUUUUAUCAAGGAAGAAGAUCUGACGGUACUUGAUGAAUAAGCCACGGCUAAUUCCGUG
rnacentral:rRNA from 1 species